rnacentral:rRNA from 1 species
GACGUAGGGGGCCAGCGUUGUUCGGAAUUACUGGGUGUAAAGGGUUCGUAGGCGGUGUGGCAAGUCGGGAGUGAAAUCUCUGGGCUCAACCCAGAGUCUGCUUCCGAUACUGCUUUGCUUGAGGACUGGAGAGGAGAUUGGAAUUCACGGUGUAGCAGUGAAAUGCGUAGAUAUCGUGAGGAAGACCAGUGGCGAAGGCGGAUCUCUGGACAGUUCCUGACGCUGAGGCGCGAAGGCCAGGGGAGCAAACGGG